UGGGGCCUUCGGGUUCGCAAAUUUGUGGCAUUUGGGCGUACUUUCUCGUAUGGUAGGUUAACAUCGAUUUUGAUCUUUACAAAAUGAUCGGAGGAACGUAGCUUCGGACUCGUUUCGAAGUGUUAUAGCCUUUGGUAGAUGUAAUGAACAGGAUCGAGGAUUGCAACGAAUACCCAUCAGGGCUAUCCGUCUGAUCUCUGACACGUUGUCCCGAUGUCGAAAGCGUGCUUACGAUGUUGAGAUAUUACGGUCAAUAGGUUAGAACGAGAUUACA
rnacentral:rRNA from 1 species